CUGUUUUAUUGCCUUCUCCAUCUUCCUUUUAGCUUCAAGAUCUUAGGAUUUCUCUUAAAUCCUACAAUGUUCCUUAGCAGUAGGGCUCUAAAGGGUCGAGAGGAGCGUUGGUUCGUGAAAGACUCUUUUGUAUUUAUAGGCUUGUUACUUUCGAGCGUUGCGUUUUGAUGUUACGACUUUUUGRAGAUYGAUAGAAAAUUCCUGUCUUUAAUCUAGAAAAAAAAAAUCUAGAUUAGUAGGUUAUUAUUUAUCUUCUCUGUAGCGGAAUUGUAAACGUUAUACUAUUACUUUUGUUGGAUAAAUUUUAUAAAAGAUCCUGGCUCUCGUUAAGUA